GGACAAAGGGCUUUGGUGAUGCCUGCGCCAUGUCCAGACUGGAUGACACACACUGCAAAGUGGCUUUUCCCACCUCCUCUUUACAGUUGUAAAUGAUGGUGUAAUAUUCCUUCUAGAGGAGAGCUAGCCCCUUCACACAGACACAGGAAUGAAGCCCUUCUGCCUCCUACCAUCAGCCUUCCAACGUUUUUUGCCUUCAAAUGGCUUCUCUUCUUUCCAAACAGCAGGUGACCUCAGCGCUUGGAUGGCGUCCAGCGAAACUGCACCUCGGUUACGUGGCCCAGGAGCCUCCACCUCAUUGCUUGUACAAAACCCUCUGCCCACAAUGCUUCCUUGCCAAGAUGCCGUGGAGCUGUGGCUUUGCUUGCGGACACUCAUUAGAAAGGGACAAAAGGGAUUUUAGGGGACCUGGGAAAAGAUGUCACAGCUGAGCCUGGGCAGGUCCGUAAAGCUGCCCUUGAGAAGGAAGGGCUGGCUGAUCGGUCACCGCAGCGUCGCACCGCUUGGGCUGAAAUACGUAAAGAGAAGAAAAGUCGCUCCUGCAGCAGAAGGGAGAAAUACCCUGUGCAAGUUCCUGGAAAUGUAGCAUUUAAUGGAAAAAACGUCCUGGGGAGAUUAAGCGAACAGAGAGCUCCUGUGGCAUUAAGCAAGCAGCGGCCGGGGGAAAGCAGAGCGUCAGAGUGGGAUUUCAGCGUCUGACCAUCAGAGCUCAGUACUCAGGUGAGAGCUGCUGUCUAGACAGGCCAGAAAAUGAUGAAGAAAACCAUUUUGAUGACCAAACUGAGAGAGAAUUCCUGCAAUCACAGCCUUGUAUUCUGACCCUGCUGUUGUGGGUCUCGUGCUGUUCCCAAAGGGAAGAGUGAGGCUGGAUUUGGCUACCUAAACACACCAACUGCUGCAGAAGCCCCGAGGAACCCCCCAGGUCUCCAUCCACUGCUGCAGAAAAUCCUCCCACACAUUGGCCAGUCCCCAGUGUUAAAUCACUGUGACACAAACGUCCUGAGAAGAUGCCAAGACCCAAGACCAGCUCAUGGGUGCUGCACCCCCGAGAGCUGACAGGUUUCUGUCUCCUCUUUGGUCUUUUGUUGGCUUUUCAGUGCCAAUGAACCUUCAAAAUUUGUUUUCAGGGGCUUUCUCAUGUCCCUGCUAAGAACGCAGACCCUACGCUGCCAUUCAUGAUGUGUGGAAAUGGGCUUCGCUAGAGGUUUAAAGAUGAGAUAGAGGAAUAAAACCAAAAAAACAUGACAUCAUAUUUUUUUGUAAAGACGUGAUAGCUAUUCCUUGCAAUGACAUGACUCCAAGUGCAGCCCCCGUCCUCGGAGAGCUCGUUCCUCUCUGUGCCUUUCCCUUUCCCUUGGGAAGCCAGCUGAACAGCAGUUGUAAACUUAUGUGGUCACAUUUUACAGAUCACUUAUGUCAGUUUUUCCCUGUGCUCUGGCAGUUUGAGCUGUCUUAUGGUUUAAUGGAGUUUUUCAGAGCCCCCACACAAUAUAGGAAUGGAGAUCAUUAGUUGUAGGAGUCAUCGUAUGCCAUCCUUUUACAAAAGCACAAUGGGAGUAUUUACCUAGGACGUGGAAAAUAUUUAUUUGACUUCCUUUCUGAGAAAGCAUUAAAAUCCCAGUUUUCACUAAGAUCAAAAUUACUGAGAACCGGAACCAAGUACUGACAAGCUCACCCGGUUCACUGAAUCCCACCGUCUUGUAGACAAGAAGAGGCUGUGGAACCCCUGGAUCCAUCAAGAAGAUGCACAGGAGACCACGACUCACAUUCCUCUCAGGGUUUAGAUUGUUUUGGGGAGCAGCAAGUCUGAAUUUCUUUGGGCUGCAGAUGUCGAACUCUUGCCUCGCAUUUUCCAGCCAAAUACCUUUACAAUUUUUGCAGUGGCACCAGCCAAGAAAGCAUCUGGAAAAGAGCAAACCCCGCUCACUCCUUGCGUGCAGGAGAUGAACAGACCCUUUGGCCAGCGAGUGGUUUGAGCUCUGGAUCACGUGUGGAUGGAAUCUCUCACCUGAAAUCCCAGUUUGGAUGCAGGAGGAAUACUUGGGAGGAUUUUGCCUCUGCACACACACCGGGGAGACGCCUGAGCUCCAUCUCUGGUCUUCAGGCCAGGCAUCUAUGGUUAGAUUCUGCAGGUUUUGCAGUGCCAAAGUUAUCGCGGUAACUGAAUAUACUAAACCGUGGUGAGUGCUGGGUGAUACUAAUGAACACAUUGUGGGCAACAGGAAUCUCCCCGUGGCUUCUGGUGGCCUUAGGAACACAGCAGAAGGUGCUCAAGUGCGUGGGGAUGGAGGAGAGAACGGGUACUUAAUUUCCUUGGCUGGACCUGAGGUCUGAGUCUCUGCUGUAUCAUGGCCACACUAAAGUAUUUGCUUCUCUUCCCAGCUCCAGAAAAUACUGUUACACCCUAACUGGACACCUUUUAUAGAACACAAAUGUAUUUUAUUUCUGAAAAACAGAUUCCUGUAGAUGAUACGUUCUCCUACAGAUAAAACCAGAUCCAUUCUAAUCACGCUGACGUUGCAGAUGCCAGAAGCCAACUAUUUUAAUAGAUUCUUUCUGAGUCCUUUUCUAUGGGCUUGGAACAUGCUCAACACCAAUAAACUGAAAGACUUCGCA